CCUACGGGUGGCUGCAGUGGGGAAUAUUGCACAAUGGGCGCAAGCCUGAUGCAGCCAUGCCGCGUGUGUGAAGAAGGCCGUCGGGUUGUAAAGCGCUUUCAGCGGGGAGGAAGGCGGUGAGGUUAAUAACCUCAUCGAUUGACGUUACCCGCAGAAGAAGCACCGGCUAACUCCGUGCCAGCAGCCGCGGUAAUACGGAGGGUGCAAGCGUUAAUCGGAAUUACUGGGCGUAAAGCGCACGCAGGCGGUCUGUCAAGUCGGAUGUGAAAUCCCCGGGCUCAACCUGGGAACUGCAUUCGAAACUGGCAGGCUAGAGUCUUGUAGAGGGGGGUAGAAUUCCAGGUGUAGCGGUGAAAUGCGUAGAGAUCUGGAGGAAUACCGGUGGCGAAGGCGGCCCCCUGGACAAAGACUGACGCUCAGGUGCGAAAGCGUGGGGAGCAAACAGGAUUAGAUACCCCUGUAGUC
rnacentral:rRNA from 1 species